AGUGAGGAAUAUUGGUCAAUGGACGAGAGUCUGAACCAGCUAUCCCGCGUGCAGGAUGACGGCCCUAUGGGUUGUAAACUGCUUUUCUAUGCCAAGAAACCUUACUACGUGUAGUAAGUUGACGGUAGCAUAAGAAUAAGGACCGGCUAACUCCGUGCCAGCAGCCGCGGUAAUACGGAGGGUCCAAGCGUUAUCCGGAUUCAUUGGGUUUAAAGGGUGCGCAGGCGGGCUUGUAAGUCAGUGGUGAAAUACUGCCGCUUAACGGUAGAACUGCCAUUGAUACUGCAAGUCUUGAAUAUGGUUGAGGUAGGCGGAAUGUGUUGUGUAGCGGUGAAAUGCAUAGAUAUAACACAGAACGCCAAUUGCGAAGGCAGCUUACUAAGCCAUUAUUGACGCUGAGGCACGAAAGCGUGGGGAGCGAACAGGAUUAGAUACCCUGGUAGUCCACGCCGUAAACGAUGUUCACUCGCUGUCUGCGAUAUACAGUAGGCGGCUUAGCGAAAGCAUUAAGUGAACCACCUGGGGAGUACGAUCGCAAGGUUGAAACUCAAAGGAAUUGACGGGGGCCCGCACAAGCGGAGGAACAUGUGGUUUAAUUCGAUGAUACGCGAGGAACCUUACCUGGGCUUAAAUGUAGAUUGCAUAACUUAGAAAUAGGUUUUCCCUUCGGGGCUAUUUACAAGGUGCUGCAUGGUUGUCGUCAGCUCGUGCCGUGAGGUGUCGGGUUAAGUCCCAUAACGAGCGCAACCCCUAUCGUUAGUUGCCAGCGGAUAAUGCCGGGGACUCUAGCGAGACUGCCACCGUAAGGUGAGAGGAAGGUGGGGAUGACGUCAAAUCAGCACGGCCCUUAUGUCCAGGGCUACACACGUGUUACAAUGGCCGAUACAAAGGGCAGCUACCAGGCAACUGGAUGCUAAUCUCUAAAGUCGGUCCCAGUUCGGAUUGGAGUCUGCAACCCGACUCCAUGAAGUUGGAUUCGCUAGUAAUCGGAUAUCAGCAAUGAUCCGGUGAAUACGUUCCCGGGCCUUGUACACACCGCCCGUCAAACCAUGGAAGCUGGGGGUACCUGAAGUCUGUGACCGCAAGGAGCGGCCUAGGGUAAAACUAGUAACUAGGGUU
rnacentral:rRNA from 1 species